UACGUAGGUCACAAGCGUUGUCCGGAUUUAUUGGGCGUAAAGGGAGCGCAGGCGGUUUGUUAAGUCUGAUGUGAAAGCCCACGGCUCAACCGUGGAACGGCAUUGGAAACUGGCAAACUUGAGUAUAGAAGAGGAAAGUGGGAUUCCAUGUGUAGCGGUGAAAUGCGUAGAUAUAUGGAGGAACACCAGUGGCGAAGGCGACUUUCUGGUCAUUAACUGACGCUGAGGCUCGAAAGCGUGGGGAGCGAACAGGAUUAGAUACCCGAG
rnacentral:rRNA from 1 species